UUUGGCAAGAUAUACAAAAAAUAAUAAGUGAUUUUUUAUGUUACAGUGAUAAAUCAGCCAGGAUAUUCCUAGGUAUUAUACCAUAUUUGGAGGUAUUAUACCAGACAGAGUUAACCAGGAAUGAUCUUUGGACAUCGCUGGACCUUUGAUCCCGAGGUCUAAAGAUUGUAAUUAAUAUCUAUUGAUGGUAGUAGAUGGCUUUACGAGCCAAAUUUUGGGAAAGCCUUUAAAAGAGACAAAAGCAAAUGCAAUUAUUAAAGAUGUCAAUAAAUUACUGGUAGCUUGGGGCCGGCCAGAAAAAAAUUAGGGUUGACAAUGGCACAUAUUUUAUAGGAGAACAGUUUGAAGACUUUGUAACUAAAAACAUAUCAGUUCAAUUAAAACUAUAAGAUAUUGCCCAGAGUCAAACGCAACAGCUGAGAGAUCUAUAGGGAUUAUAAAAAGCUGGAAACGGGCCAGUUGUAAUCAUGAUAGAGGGGAUGAAUAUAUGGAAGAUUUAAUGUUUUAUAUUAAUCUUACAGAGAUCAAACGUCAAAAGACCAGCCAGAAGACUUUUGCCGAGUAGGAGAUCACGUCUGGAUCAGGUUAGACAAUAAACAUAAAAAUAAACCAUUUAAAGAUUUAAUAACUAAGAAUGAUAAAAUAAUUAAAUAGUUGAUAAACAAUGUGGAAUUAGCAGAUAAUGGUCUCUGGAGUAAGAGGAAUUUGGUCUUGGUUAAAAACCAAGGACAAGAAAAUUUAACUCAAGCAGGAAAAUUAUCAAUGAGAUUAGGAUGAUCUUGUUAAAUUGGUUGAGAUUAAUAACCAGAGAGGUGUGAUUAGAAUUUAAACUAAUCUAAGGACGAGAUGCGUUGAUAAUUAUAUAGCGAAGGAUAUUGAGCCUGAAAAAGCCAGACAGACAGGUAGAUUGCUUAAACCUGUUAAACUGAAAUGUUAUAUAGCAUAGGUGUAUAUGUGCUGUUUGUGGUAGUUUUGAAGAAUAACUGUGGUGGGAAGCACUAGCGAUAAGCAACCCCAAAUCCAGGGAGGAAUUAAAAAGCAAUAAUAAUAAUAAAAAAAUACAAAAAAGAUUAGUAAACCUCUAACUAUGCCAAAAAUACAGAGAGAUCAAGAUUACAAAACUCCUGGAGAAAUUAAAGCAGCUUUGUGAGUUCACUGCCAAAAAUGUAGAAUUAGUUUCCCUAAAGUUGAAGUAAUAAUGACACAGCGGCUUGGAGUAAAGUAAACAGUUUGUGAUUGUUUGUGGACAGGGAAUAUGUGAUUAAAUGCGAUGUAUGUCUCGAUUACAUUAAAUACCAUAAAUUGCUGGUACAUGGCAGACAUAAAGUUUGGUCUUGUGACAAGACCUUUGUUGAUUUCUCUAGUAAAGGCAAAAUUGAAGGUUCAAGAUUGCAAGUUGAUAACAUGACUUAUCAACAACAGCUGGGAUCAGGCGUCGAUUAUCUAUGGUCAUACCGUAUUAAGAGAAAUAUGGAUGACAUUCAAAGUAAAUGGCUCCCGUUGACCCCAAAGGUCUGGGAAUGGAGCUGGAGUGCUUGAAAACUUGCUUUGACAUGAAGGUCAAAGCAUGCCGGCCAGAUAAGGGAACUGGAAUUAUCUGGUCUGUGGGCACCGUUGCUAAAACACUAUUAUAAAGUAAUAUAGGUGAGUGAAUAAUGGCACCUAGAAUUGAUUUUUUGAGACGAGGAGAAUCUGAUGACUCAAAUAGCAAUGUGCGUUGCCAUUUUAACUAAUUUCAACUAAUAGUGCAAAGAAGCAGAGUUCUGUGUGUCCUAUUGCAUUAUGGAGACAGAACAGCCAGCAAGCUGCUGUAUUAUCUCCGGGCAAGAAGCCAAUUAUGGAGGGGUUACAGCAGUCUUGUCUGAAUUAAACUAAUGUUAAAAGUUGUUUUAAACAUGACCACCACUUCUGAACCACAAAUUCUAGCAUGUGCAGUUGACAUUGAAUUGGCACACGAUUAAGUAGUGAGUAAAUUGACAAAAGGUUCAGAAGGGGGGUGGUUUGAAUUAUUGUGUUAUUAUUAUUCUUAUUUUUCUCUCAGGAAUGAUGAAAUUACAAGACUUAGACGAGAGAGAGAAAUGGGCCAGGAAAAUACAACGCUGGCGACAAGCCUGUAUACCACAACCUUGUCUGACGGUAUUAUUAGUAUAACAGGGGUUGUGAUUUUAACUGGAAUUUGGCCAAUAAUUGAUUUCACUACAAAAUUGAUUGUGGUUGAGGAGAUUACUGUUACAGAAGUUUCCCACUGUACUAUAGUGUAAUUUUUUUUCAGGGUCAUGGGAGCUAAAAACAUUGCAAGAAUGUAGCCAAUGUGAGGAAAUAAUAAUAAUAAUAAUAAAAAAAAAAAAUAUAUAUAUAUAUAUAUAUAUAUAUAUAUAUAUAUAUAUACAGUGGGGAAAGAUACAUUAGUGAAAUGUAGAAUAAGGUCAAGCCCAUGUAACAUUUCACGGAUAAAGAGAAUUUGGAUUUGGCACCGCCUGCAGCAUAUACUCUAUAUUGGACCUAGAGAGAUAUUAGGGUGUUACAUGAGCAAUACUGAGGACAGUGUUAAGCCAAAUAAAGAAACCCAGAUUACUGCAACUAAAUAAAACGAUGUGUAAUAUAUGGGUUGUAUGAUCCUAAAAGUGCAUUCCAAAGAAACUGUGAAAAAUAUUAUAAUGACAAUAAAUAUACAAUGUGUGAAACUACAAAAAAUUAUGGGAUCCAUUUGCAUGGAUAAAUUGGUUUAUAUAUUGACAUAGGUUAAUAUUAAUAUAUUAUUAUACAUUAAUAUUGGUUAGGUGAAACUACAGAAUGAAUUAGUUUAUAUUCAAAAGGAUUGAGAACUCUUGUGGGAAAAUGUUCUUACUGAAAAUUAACUGAAAGAGAUCAAAUCAUAAUACAGUUCAUUUGUAUUAUUUAUUAUUUAUUUAUUUGGUGAUACAGGAACUAAUAUUUUGUAGAGCAUUACUGUGGAAAGCAUUAAAGCCCAAAAAUUUAGAUGAAAAACAGAGAAUCUCAUGAUGGGAUGAGUAUAAAAGAUAAAAAUAAAAAUAUUAAAUAUAAAAAUACCGGGCUAAGCACUUACUAUCCUUUUCCUGUAUUUUGGAUGAGAUUUCAGGUAAAGGAUAGCAGAUUAUUUUGUUCUAUUUCUAAGGAAAUCCCAGAAUACCAUAAUGUUAUGACUAUAUCAAAACCUAAUUAUAAAAUGUCAGUUAAUAUCAGUGGCAUUCUAGAUGUCAAAGAGGUUUUGACCAUUGACAGACGCUUAUGGAAUGUUUAUUACUUUACAGGAAGACAAGGCUUAUUUAAAUAUGCCUUUAGAUAGUUAUUUUAGUAGAUUUGAUAUUAAUUAAGGAAUUAAUGGUAUGUUGGCUUAAGAAGUCUAUUUGUAUGAGCCCAUAUAUAUGGAUAAUAGAGAGAAUUAUGCUGAAGAAGAUAAAGGGAAAUGAAUGACUCCGUACCCAUUGUAUUGGACAGUAGCUAGACGACAAUAUAUUAAAUUACAUUCAGGAUACAGACAAUGGAUAAUUUAUACUCUAUGUUAUUUUACUAGUAGGAGCUUUCAUUGGGAUUUUGAUUUUGUGAGAACUAAAGGGCCUUGGAGGACUGAUAAGAAGUUUAUUAAAAAUCUGUUAUUCUACAGUCGAUAAUAUUAUCAUGCAGGUGGUUGGGCAUUAGUAGGAGUAGAGAAGAAGAGGACAAACAAGUGCUCAUUGAAAGAGGGAUUCAUCGAAAGACCUUGACCGGACGUAGCACUCCUCUGGUGCACAAGGUCUGAGACUUUACUUCUGAAAUAUAUGGCAUUUCAACAGAGUGCCACGAAGGGUGAACAGUUGAGUGAUAUACCAUGGAUAACUUUAAGAAUGAUUCUACCUGCAUUGCUGUUUUGUUAGGAAACGGUGACAACCUUUUGGAAACUCUGGCAGAGAAAUUUAUGGAAUUCCUGGAGAAGGAGGAUUUAACUCUGACUCAGCCCGCCUUCACGCCCCAAGGUGCUAAGAAUCAAACAAGCGGCUCGCACACCAGAAGGUAUGCCUGGAAUGCCAGAUCCCCUCUCUUGGCUUCUGAAGAGGAUUUCAGAGAGAGGGGAAGAGCUGUGCGUUUCUGAGUGAGGACCCCUGGGGGCGUCAGAUUGAGGCUUGUGUACAUGAAAUUACGAACGGACGAUUGUUGAGAGCAAGAUUUGGACACUAUCUUAGCACUGUCAAGCAGAGCACAAAGAUUUGGUCACCUGAUACUACUGUAUCUGGAAAUUAGAAAAAAAAGAGUGCAAGGGGAAAGAAAGAAUGCUCGAGUUUGGGUUGAAAACUAUAUGGAUGUGUUUCAUACCAGCUUACUGUUGCAUGAUAGCACUGUGUAUAUGAUUCUUUCAAAAUAUAACAAGUUUAAAAAACAUGAUGAACAGUACUUUAGCUUGAAGAUGUUAGGAUGAAAUCAGCCAGCAAAAUUGCAAAGCAGUGGGUGUUAAUGGAGAUGAUGAUUUUGCAAUUGUACUGUCUUGAUUAAUGCUUAAUUUGCUAUAAAGUUAUAUUGUGCUAUACAGAUGUACUGUAACCUAAGUAGUAAUAAUGCUUUUGCUUAAGUACAAAGAUGUAACCCUGUGAUUAAUGCUAUAUGGAAAAUGUAUUGUGUAACUUCACUAACAUUAAGAAAACUGCUUACUUGCAUGAAAUGUAUGUAGUGACUGAUUUAGAGUAGAAACACUUAUGUAUUAGAAAUAGUUUUUAUGAUAAAUGGACAAUAUAGUAUUUAAGGUGUAUUUCACCGACUGUUAAGAGGAAAAAGAAGAGGAAAAGGGCUAAAGCAAUGUGAAGUAAACAACUGAAAGCCUCGGCAGAGGAGUUGGCAGCACUCCAGGUGAUGACAUCAGAAGAACCAGCGUUCGACGUCUGGGUAUAAAAGACAGAGAGAGAGACUCGACGGACGGAUACUGAACAAGCACAGUAUCCCUCGACGCCUGAUACCAGCUGAUUAUACCUUGAUUUUGUAACUUUACUAUUGUACUUUGAUAUAACUUUUGUUAAUUUUAAUAAAACUUGUAUUUUAUUAUUGACAAGU